CAGCCGCCACGGGAAUACAGAGGGUGCGAGCGUUAAUCGGAUUUACUGGGCGUAAAGAGUGCGUAGGCGGCUUCUUAAGUCGGAUGUGAAAUCCCUGAGCUUAACUUAGGAAUUGCAUUCGAUACUGGGAAGCUAGAGUAUGGGAGAGGAUGGUAGAAUUCCAGGUGUAGCGGUGAAAUGCGUAGAGAUCUGGAGGAAUACCGAUGGCGAAGGCAGCCAUCUGGACUAAUACUGACGCUGAGGUACGAAAGCAUGGGGAGCAAACAGGAUUAGAUACCCGAGUAGUCCCUGUCUCUUAUAC
rnacentral:rRNA from 1 species